rnacentral:antisense_RNA from 1 species
UGUGGGAGCUGGCUUGCCUGCGAUGCGGGCAACUUGGUACAUCAGGUACACCCGGUAGAUGCCAUCGCAGGCAAGCCAGCUCCCACC